CCUACGGGAGGCAGCAGUGAGGAAUAUUGGUCAAUGGACGAGAGUCUGAACCAGCGAAGUAGCGUGAAGGAUGACUGCCCUAUGGAUUGUAAGCUUCUUUUAUAUGGGAGUAAAACAGGGUAUGCAUACCCUCUUCUAUGUCCCAUAUGAAUAAGGCUCGGCGAACUCCGUGCCAGCAGCCGCGGUAAUACGGAUGUUCCGAGCGUUAUCCGGAUUUAUUGGGUUUAAAGGGAGCGUAGGUGGAUUGUUAAGUCUGUUGUGAAAGUUUGCGGCUCAACCGUGAAAUUGCAGUUGAAACUGGAAGUCUUGAGUACAGUAGAGGUGGGUGGAAUUCGUGGUGUAGCGGUGAAAUGCUUAGAUAUCACGAAGAACUCCGAUGGCGAAGGCAGCUCACUGGACUGCAACUGACACUGAUGCUCGAAAGUGUGGGUAUCAAACAGGAUUAGAUACCCGAGUAGUC
rnacentral:rRNA from 1 species